CUAGGUCUCAGUUCAGAUUGCAGGCUGCAACCCGCCUGCAUGAAGUCGGAAUUGCUAGUAAUCGCGGAUCAGCAUGCCGCGGUGAAUAACGUUCCCGGGCCUUGUACACACCGCCCGUCACACCAUGGGAGCCGGUAAUACCCGAAGUCAGUAGUCCAACCUCGUGAGGACGCUGCCGAAGGUAGGAUUGGCGACUGGGGUGAAGUCGUAACAAGGUAAC
rnacentral:rRNA from 1 species